UACGGAGGGUGCGAGCGUUGUCCGGAAUCACUGGGCGUAAAGGGCGCGUAGGCGGCCUGAUAAGUAGGGGGUGAAAUCCUGCGGCUUAACCGCAGGGCUGCCUUCUAAACUGUCAGGCUAGAGCACGGUAGAGGCAGAUGGAAUUCCCGGUGUAGCGGUGGAAUGCGUAGAGAUCGGGAAGAACAUCAGUGGCGAAGGCGGUCUGCUGGGCCGUUGCUGACGCUGAGACGCGAAAGCGUGGGGAGCAAACAGG
rnacentral:rRNA from 1 species